rnacentral:rRNA from 1 species
GACAGAGGGUGCAAGCGUUGUUCGGAAUCAUUGGGCGUAAAGGGCGCGUAGGCGGCUUUGUAAGUCGGAUGUGAAAUCCCAGGGCUCAACCCUGGAAGUGCAUCCGAAACUGCGAAGCUCGAAUCUCGGAGAGGGUGGUGGAAUUCCCAGUGUAGAGGUGAAAUUCGUAGAUAUUGGGAGGAACACCGGUGGCGAAGGCGACCGCCUGGACGAAGAUUGACGCUGAGGCGCGAAAGCGUGGGGAGCAAACAGG